AUGCCGGCUUCUGCGUCGGCGGCGGCCGCGGCCGCCCCAGCCCCAUCCACCUCUCGCGCUCCUCCUCGUUCGACUUCUGCGUCUCCGACGGCGGGAGCUGCUGCUACGACUACGCCGGGCGCGACGAACUCCCUGGCCCGGACGGCCACCUCUCCGGCUCCUUGCCCAGCUUCUGCGUCGUCGGCAGCAGAUGCUCCAGCUGUGCUGGGCGCUAUGGCUCCUCCUGCCGGUGCCAUCAACGCCGUUGUGCCCGCCCUGCAGCAGCCGCUGUAUGUGUCAUGGGCCUCCCUCGCCACCGACGACGACGACAUCGACGAUGAUGACGAGGUAGCUCCGCUGACGCCGUUUGCUGCCAGAUGCUCCAGCGGGGUGUGUGUUUCGGCUGCUGUUGCUCCUGAGGCGACAUUGGAGCAACCAUGGGUGAAGGUGGGGGGCCGUCAGUGUCAGCGGCCGCGGCAGGAGUUGGCACCAGGGCCGCCACGCAGGAUGGAGACUGCCAGCUCCCUCGCCUUCAAGAGAAGAACCUACGGCCUCUGUUUUCGCUGCUUGGCGCCGAAGCAUCUCGUCGCUGAUUCUCGCGGUCCUGUCAGAUGCCUGGCAUGUGGCCUCCCAGGCCAUCGUGAACGUGGUUGUCCCUCGCGCCAGCCAACGGGGGAAGGUCGCUGCCUCCGUCCUCGCUCGCCUACGGCCUCACCGUGUCAUUCGAGGGACCUGCCAGACUGCCAGGCUCCUCGCCACUUCAGCAGCUCAACUCAUGGAUCUCCACAUACGCAUCGACACACCUGGGCCUCGGUUGUUGCCCCUCCGGCUGUGGCGAAUCCCAGCGAUUCUGUUGUUGCUGAUUUGGGAUUGCUCGAGCCUCUCCUUGCUGCUCAGAUGGAAGUGUUGCGCUCUGAGAUGCAGGCCUUGACCGUCUCACGUUUGGAGGAGGUGGUCCGACCCCUUCAUGACAUGAUGACUGCUUUGGAGGGGUGGACGACUCUACUUCGGGGAUUCUUGGAGCGAAUGGAGGUUGUUGUUGGCCAGCUGGGCUACUCGCCGGCCUCGCCACAGUCGUUUGAGAUGCAUGUUGCAGGUUCUGUUGGGAAUGUUGCUGGUGUUGAGGAUUUCAUCAAGAGUGAUGUGGCUAGCUGCUCGUCUGAGGUCCUAGCUUCUGUUGCGCACCUUAGGGAUGCGACCCCUGUUCUGGUCUCGUCUCUGCCCAUGAAGGAGCAAGCUGAGGCCGGUGGGACUGUGGCAUGCGUGGAGGCUGCUCUUUGCAGGCUCCCGACUGUGCCUCUUAUGUCCCCGUUGCUCGAGCUCCAGGUUGGUUCUGCGGAUGGGAGGGAAGCAUGCAUGUAUGGAUGUUUCUCCCCUUGUGCCGCUCUCUGUACAUCGCCACUACCUGUCAUGCCAAGUGACUUCGGGAGUGUGGUCGUCAUCGAGGGCGUGACUUCGGUGCUACAAUGUAUGCCUGAGUUGCAGGUGUUAAGUGUGGAACCAUCUUCGCCUAUAUCGAUGGUGCUCUCGAAGGUGGGCUCGCUUGGGGCGGUGACGGUUGCCUCGACGCCCUCUCCACCUCCGUUGGAGCCUAGUCAGUAG
rnacentral:rRNA from 1 species